UCUUCCCUACGGGGCGCAGCAGUGGGGAAUAUUGGGCAAUGGGCGCAAGCCUGACCCAGCAACGCCGCGUGAAGGAAGAAGGCUUUCGGGUUGUAAACUUCUUUUCUCAGGGACGAAGCAAGUGACGGUACCUGAGGAAUAAGCCACGGCUAACUACGUGCCAGCAGCCGCGGUAAUACGUAGGUGGCAAGCGUUAUCCGGAUUUACUGGGUGUAAAGGGCGUGUAGGCGGGGACGCAAGUCAGAUGUGAAAACCACGGGC
rnacentral:rRNA from 1 species